rnacentral:rRNA from 1 species
AGAGUUUGAUCCUGGCUCAGGAUGAACGCUGGCGGCGUGCCUAAUACAUGCAAGUCGAACGCUUCACUUCGGUGAAGAGUGGCGAACGGGUGAGUAAUACAUAAGUAACCUGGCAUCUACAGGGGGAUAACUGAUGGAAACGUCAGCUAAGACCGCAUAGGUGUAGAGAUCGCAUGAACUCUAUAUGAAAAGUGCUACGGGACUGGUAGAUGAUGGACUUAUGGCGCAUUAGCUGGUUGGUAGGGUAACGGCCUACCAAGGCGACGAUGCGUAGCCGACCUGAGAGGGUGACCGGCCACACUGGGACUGAGACACGGCCCAGACUCCUACGGGAGGCAGCAGUAGGGAAUUUUCGGCAAUGGGGGAAACCCUGACCGAGCAACGCCGCGUGAAGGAAGAAGUAAUUCGUUAUGUAAACUUCUGUCAUAGAGGAAGAACGGUGGAUAUAGGGAAUGAUAUCCAAGUGACGGUACUCUAUAAGAAAGCCACGGCUAACUACGUGCCAGCAGCCGCGGUAAUACGUAGGUGGCGAGCGUUAUCCGGAAUUAUUGGGCGUAAAGAGGGAGCAGGCGGCACUAAGGGUCUGUGGUGAAAGAUCGAAGCUUAACUUCGGUAAGCCAUGGAAACCGUAGAGCUAGAGUGUGUGAGAGGAUCGUGGAAUUCCAUGUGUAGCGGUGAAAUGCGUAGAUAUAUGGAGGAACACCAGUGGCGAAGGCGACGAUCUGGCGCAUAACUGACGCUCAGUCCCGAAAGCGUGGGGAGCAAAUAGGAUUAGAUACCCUAGUAGUCCACGCCGUAAACGAUGAGUACUAAGUGUUGGGAGUCAAAUCUCAGUGCUGCAGUUAACGCAAUAAGUACUCCGCCUGAGUAGUACGUUCGCAAGAAUGAAACUCAAAGGAAUUGACGGGGGCCCGCACAAGCGGUGGAGCAUGUGGUUUAAUUCGAAGCAACGCGAAGAACCUUACCAAAUCUUGACAUCCCUCUGACCGGUCUUUAAUCGGACCUUCUCUUCGGAGCAGAGGUGACAGGUGGUGCAUGGUUGUCGUCAGCUCGUGUCGUGAGAUGUUGGGUUAAGUC